rnacentral:rRNA from 1 species
UACGGAGGGCAGCAGUGGGGAAUAUUGCACAAUGGGCGCAAGCCUGAUGCAGCCAUGCCGCGUGUAUGAAGAAGGCCUUCGGGUUGUAAAGUACUUUCAGUCGUGAGGAAGGUGUUAAGGUUAAUAACCUUAGCAAUUGACGUUAGCGACAGAAGAAGCACCGGCUAACUCCGUGCCAGCAGCCGCGGUAAUACGGAGGGUGCGAGCGUUAAUCGGAAUUACUGGGCGUAAAGGGCACGCAGGCGGUUAAUUAAGUUGGAUGUGAAAUCCCCGGGCUUAACCUGGGAAUGGCAUUCAAGACUGGUUAGCUAGAGUCUUGUAGAGGGGGUAGAAUUCCAUGUGUAGCGGUGAAAUGCGUAGAGAUGUGGAGGAAUACCGGUGGCGAAGGCGGCCCCUGGACAAAGGCUGACGCUCAUGUGCGAAAGCGUGGGGAGCAAAC